UUAUUUUAGCGGCGGACGGGUGAGUAACGUGUGGGCAACCUACCUUUUACUGUGGAAUAAUCGUUGGAAACGACGACUAAUACCGCAUACGGUUCUUGGAAGGCAUCUUCUAAGAAAGAAAGGAUUUAUUCGGUAAAAGAUGGGCCCGCAUCUGAUUAGCUAGUUGGUGAGAUAAUAGCCCACCAAGGCAACGAUCAGUAGCCGACCUGAGAGGGUGACCGGCCACAUUGGGACUGAGACACGGCCCAAACUCCUACGGGAGGCAGCAG
rnacentral:rRNA from 1 species